rnacentral:misc_RNA from 1 species
UGUUCGAUGACUGGAGUUACCACA